GACGAACGCUGGCGGCGUGCUUAACACAUGCAAGUCGAACGGAAAGGCCCUGCUUUUGUGGGGUGCUCGAGUGGCGAACGGGUGAGUAACACGUGAGUAACCUGCCCUUGACUUUGGGAUAACUUCAGGAAACUGGGGCUAAUACCGGAUAGGAGCUCCUGCUGCAUGGUGGGGGUUGGAAAGUUUCGGCGGUUGGGGAUGGACUCGCGGCUUACCAGCUUGUUGGUGGGGUAGUGGCUUACCAAGGCUUUGACGGGUAGCCGGCCUGAGAGGGUGACCGGCCACAUUGGGACUGAGGUACGGCCCAGACUCCUACGGGAGGCAGCAGUGGGGAAUAUUGCACAGUGGGCGGAAGCCUGAUGCAGCAACGCCGCGUGCGGGAUGACGGCCUUCGGGUUGUAAACCGCUUUCGCCUGUGACGAAGCGUGAGUGACGGUAAUGGGUAAAGAAGCACCGGCUAACUACGUG
rnacentral:rRNA from 1 species